rnacentral:rRNA from 1 species
AUUGAACGCUGGCGGCAUGCCUUACACAUGCAAGUCGAACGGUAACAGGCCGCAAGGUGCUGACGAGUGGCGAACGGGUGAGUAAUGCAUCGGAACGUGCCCAGUCGUGGGGGGUAACGGGGCGAAAGCUGUGCUAAUACCGCAUACGAUCUAAGGAUGAAGGCGGGGGAGCGGAAGACCUCGCGCGGUUGGAGCGGUCGAUAUCAAAUUAGUAAGUUGGUGGGAUAAAGGCCCACCAAGGGGACGAUCUGUAGCUGGUCUGUGAGGACGACCAGCCACACUGGAACUGAGACACGGUCCAGACUCCUACGGGAGGCAGCAGUGGGGAAUUUUGGACAAUGGGCGCAAGCCUAAUCCAGCAAUGCCGCGUGCAGGAAGAAGGCCUUCGGGUUGUAAACUGCUUUUGUACGGGGCGAAGAGGCUCUCUCUAAUACAGGGGGCUCAUGACGGUACCGUAAGAAUAAGCACCGGCUAACUACGUGCCAGCAGCCGCCGUAAAAC